rnacentral:rRNA from 1 species
GGAACAUGGGUGCCAGCAGCGGGGGAAAAUCGGAGGGGGCUAGGGGAGUGCGGAAUGUCUGGGCGGAAGGCGGGGGUAGGCGGCCAUGCAAGUGAGGCGUGAAAGGCCUGGGCUCAACCUGGGAACUGCGCUUCAGACUGCACGGCUUGAGUCCGGGAGAGGGUGGUGGAAUUCCCAGUGUAGAGGUGAAAUUCGUAGAUAUUGGGAGGAACACCAGUGGCGAAGGCGGCCACCUGGCCCGGUACUGACGCUCAAGUGCGAAAGCGUGGGGAGCAAACAGGAUUAGAUACCCUUGUAGUC